rnacentral:lncRNA from 1 species
GGCGAUUUGUCUUAAAUUUAUUCGUGGUUUAAUUUAGACAUUGGUUUGUAAAUUUGUCUUUAACCAAAAAGUUUUAAAUCCUCUUUUAGGUAUGUUCCGCUUUUCUUUUAUGGUAAAAUACAUAACUCAAGAUUAAGGGUUGCUGUCUAUAUGAAAGGUUUUGAACUAGUAAGGAUUUUUAGUGGCAUAAUUCAAGAUAAAACGUAGGAAAAACUGACUCCAUAUACUAAAUUGCCUUAAUUGAAGUCUGGAGCUGGCAUGUCAGUUAACUGCUAGUAGUCUGUUGUUAUUUAUGUAUUAUUGUCAUUUUAUUUAUUGUCUUUGGUUACAUCUUCUGACAUAAGACUCGGAUUUCUCUUGAAUUGAAUUUUAAUGUGCGUAUUGUUAUGCGUUUACUUUUCUACAUUGGCUAGAGGUAGAGGGGAGGUUGAGAUCUCAUAAACAUGCUUAACCCCGCCGCAAUUUUGCACCUGCCCCAAGUCAGGAGCCGCUGGCCUUUGUUAGUCUUGUUUUUAUUUUUUAUUUUAGUUUCUUGUGUACAAUUUGGAGUUUUGUAUGGCGUUCAUUAUCACUGAACUAGUAUAUAUAUUUGUUUAGAGGCCAGCUGAAGGACGCCACCUGGUACGGGAAUUUCUCGCUGCAUUGACGACAUGUUGAUGACCUUCUGUUGUUGUUCUAUGGUCGGUUUGUUGUCUCUUUGGCACAUUCCCCAUUUUCCAUUCUCAAUUUUAUUUCAUAAUCCAUACGGUAGGUGUCCCAUGUGGAGUAGUUUAUGUUUUGCCUUCUGGGGGCACCUUGAUUCUAGCUCGGUUUUUUGUUUGUAACAUGUCUAGUUGUCUCACGGUCACCUGCGUCUUCUGUCGCAGAAAAACGAGACUUAGGGUAAUGGUCCGGUGGCGGCGGCGACGUUAGUUUUUGACUUUGUAUAAAAGCGUAGUAUUUCGGAAGGUAGAAUUCC